GACUUGAGAGUGGGCUAAGCUAGCUUGCGUCAUCAGAGCGCGCGGCCGCUGUCGCGGAGAGAUGACGUGACCCAAGCUUGGUGCUGUCAGUCAGAGCUCCGCCUGGUCCGGGCCGAGGGUCCGGUGGGACCGGCGGGGCCAUGGCGGCCGUGUUUGAUUUAGACUUGGAGACCGAGGAAGGAAGCGAGGGCGAACCGGAGUUCAGCCCUGCGGACGUGUGUCCCCUUGGCGAGUUAAGGGCUGCUGGCCUGGAGACAGUGGGACACUAUGAGGAAGUGGAGCUGACAGAGAGCAGCGUGAAUCUGGGUCCUGAGCGCAUCGGGCCCCACUGCUUUGAGCUACUGAGUGUACUGGGCAAGGGAGGCUAUGGCAAGGUGUUCCAGGUGAGAAAAGUGCAAGGCACCAACUUGGGCAAAAUAUAUGCCAUGAAAGUCUUGAGGAAGGCCAAGAUUGUAUGCAGUGCCAAGGACACAGCACAUACCCGGGCUGAGCGGAACAUUCUAGAAUCUGUGAAGCAUCCCUUCAUUGUAGAACUGGCCUAUGCUUUCCAGACAGGUGGCAAACUCUACCUCAUCCUGGAGUGCCUCAGUGACUGAUCCUGAGGGCAAUGUCUGGGUCUUCUCAACUCUGCCCCAGCUUCACGCAGCACAGGGCCAGGCACCAAGUGAAUAGGCGACGGUAGAUGUUUGCUGAUUGAAUUGAGUCCCCACGGCAGCUCUGGGAGGCAGGUGGUGAGCUCUUCACACAUCUUGAGCGAGAAGGCAUCUUCCUGGAAGACACAGCCUGCUUCUACCUGGCAGAGAUCACACUAGCCCUGGGCCAUCUCCAUUCCCAAGGCAUCAUCUAUCGAGAUCUCAAGCCUGAGAACAUCAUGCUCAACAGCCAGGGUCACAUCAAACUGACAGACUUUGGACUUUGCAAAGAGUCCAUUCAUGAGGGUGCUAUCACUCACACCUUCUGUGGCACCAUUGAGUACAUGGCCCCAGAGAUUCUAGUGCGUAUUGGUCACAACCGGGCAGUGGACUGGUGGAGCCUGGGAGCCCUGAUGUAUGACAUGCUCACUGGAUCGGCAAGUCCAGCUUCCCUGGGAGCAGGGUGGGUGUUGGGGUGACCCCUUCCAGAUUGGGGCAAGACUGGGCGGGAGGACCCCUAGGCUGCCCUCACCUUCUGCCUUCUCCAGCCGCCCUUCACCGCAGAGAACCGGAAGAAAACUAUGGAUAAAAUCAUUAAAGGGAAGCUGGUGCUGCCCCCCUACCUCACCCCAGAUGCCCGGGACCUUGCCAAAAAGUUUCUGAAGCGGAAUCCCAUUCAACGGAUCGGGGGUGGCCCAGGAGAUGCUGCUGAUGUCCAGAGGCACCCCUUUUUCAGGCACAUCAAUUGGGAUGACCUCUUGGCCCGCCGUGUGGACCCUCCCUUCAGGCCAAGUCUGCAAUCAGAAGAGGAUGUGAGCCAGUUUGAUGCACGAUUCACACGGCAGACACCAGUAGAUAGUCCAGAUGACACAGCCCUCAGUGAGAGUGCCAACCAAGCCUUCCUGGGCUUCACAUAUGUGGCACCUUCUGUCCUGGACAGCAUCAAAGAGGGCUUCUCCUUCCAGCCCAAGCUGCGCUCCCCCAGACGCCUUAACAGCAGUCCCCGCACCCCCAUCAGCCCCCUCAAGUUCUCUCCCUUUGAGGGUUUCAAGCCCAGUCCUGGCCCACCAGAGCCCAUGGAGCCAUCUCUACCUCCACUCGUGCCACCACCACCAUCAUCACCACCACCCACAAGCACUGCCCCCCUUCCCAUCCGUCCCCCCUCAGGAACCAAGAAGUCUAAGAAGGGACGGGGCCGCCCAGGGCGCUAAGAGAAUAGAGGGAGAGAGCGGGCAGCUGUGAGGGCCCAGCUGGCUCUGACCUGUGGAUGUUCAGGAGAUGAGAAUGUGUUUGUGUGUGGAAGGGUGAGCCUUACAAUCAUGUACACAGAGGGCUGCAGGCUGUAGCCACUAGCGGUGGUUCCCAACCCCCAUCCCAUCAGAAGGGACUUGGCCUGUCUUUGGACCUGUGCCCUUGUAGAAGUAAAGGACUGAAUCAUG